CAGUCGCCGCGGGAAUACGGAGGGUGCAAGCGUUAUCCGGAUUCACUGGGUUUAAAGGGUGCGUAGGCGGAUCUGCAAGUCAGUGGUGAAAUCUCCAGGCUUAACCUGGAAACUGCCGUUGAUACUAUAGGUCUUGAAUUUUGUGGAGGUUAGCGGAAUAUGUCAUGUAGCGGUGAAAUGCAUAGAUAUGACAUAGAACACCAAUUGCGAAGGCAGCUGGCUACACAACUAUUGACGCUGAGGCACGAAAGCGUGGGGAUCAAACAGGAUUAGAUACCCCCGUAGUCCCUGUCUCUUAUAC
rnacentral:rRNA from 1 species